rnacentral:rRNA from 1 species
GGGCGUUAAGUUGCAGGGUAUAGACCCGAAACCCGGUGAUCUAGCCAUGGGCAGGUUGAAGGUUGGGUAACACUAACUGGAGGACCGAACCGACUAAUGUUGAAAAAUUAGCGGAUGACCUGUGGCUGGGGGUGAAAGGCCAAUCAAACCGGGAGAUAGCUGGUUCUCCCCGAAAGCUAUUUAGGUAGCGCCUCGUGAAUUCAUCUCCGGGGGUAGAGCACUGUUUCGGCUAGGGGGCCAUCCCGGCUUACCAACCCGAUGCAAACUGCGAAUACCGGAGAAUGUUAUCACGGGAGACACACGGCGGGUGCUAACGUCCGUCGUGAAGAGGGAAACAACCCAGACCGCCAGCUAAGGUCCCAAAGUCAUGGUUAAGUGGGAAACGAUGUGGGAAGGCCCAGACAGCCAGGAUGUUGGCUUAGAAGCAGCCAUCAUUUAAAGAAAGCGUAAUAGCUCACUGGUCGAGUCGGCCUGCGCGGAAGAUGUAACGGGGCUAAACCAUGCACCGAAGCUGCGGCAGCGACGCUUAUGCGUUGUUGGGUAGGGGAGCGUUCUGUAAGCCUGCGAAGGUGUGUCGUGAGGCAUGCUGGAGGUAUCAGAAGUGCGAAUGCUGACAUAAGUAACGAUAAAGCGGGUGAAAAGCCCGCUCGCCGGAAGACCAAGGGUUCCUGUCCAACGUUAAUCGGGGCAGGGUGAGUCGACCCCUAAGGCGAGGCCGAAAGGCGUAGUCGAUGGGAAACGGGUUAAUAUUCCCGUACUUGGUGUUACUGCGAAGGGGGGACGGAGAAGGCUAUGUUGGCCGGGCGACGGUUGUCCCGGUUUAAGCGUGUAGGCUGGUUUUCCAGG